rnacentral:rRNA from 1 species
AUGUGGGUGCAUACCCGGUCAGCGCGUGCUCUUUUGCAAAGAGGCCCCUGGCGUUGCUGUGAAUCAACCCGCACAGAUGAGCACUUCUCUGAUUCUCAUGGUAUGGUGCAUACCCGGUCAACCCGUACUCAAGAACAUGGUGCUGAAGCUGUCGGGCACGCAGAGGCAGGGGGUGCCGAAGCGGGGCGGCUCGCCGCCGCCGAGGGGCCGGACGACGUCGCUGUACCGGAGCGGGUACUACCGGUCGGGCGUGGUGCAGGACGACAUGGCGGUGCCGCCGGCCACGUACCUGGGCCACGGCGCCGGGGGCGGGGGCGGCACGGCGGCGUCGAGCGCGAGCUCCACGCCGGCGUGGGAGCGGCCGCCCAACGGGGGGCAGGGCGAGGCGGCGGUGCGGGAGUGGGUGGCGCAGGUGGAGCCCGGGGUGCAGAUCACGUUCGUGUCGCUGGCGGGCGGCGCCGGCAACGACCUGAAGCGCAUCCGGUUCAGCCGGGAGAUGUACUACAAGUGGCAGGCGCAGCGGUGGUGCGGCGACAACAACGAGCGCAUCAUGGAGCUCUACAACGUCCGCCGCUUCACCCACCAGGUGCUCCCCGACCCGCCCCGCGACGACGACGCCGCCGAGCAGAGGGAGUCGUUCUACUCGCAGUCGCAGGUGGGCUCGACGAUGGGCAGCCCUCCGCAACGACCGGCGCCGGCCCAGGCGGGCCCGGCGGCGCGGCGCGGCAGCACAGCUUCCGCGGCCCGCUGUCCCCGCCGCCGCCGUCGUCGUCCAACCCGUCGGAGCGCGCCUGGCAGCAGCAGCAGCAGCAACACCCGCAGCGCCCUGAGCCGGACGUCCCGGAGCCGACGCGGACGACCACCUCGUCCAUGCCGGACGACGUGUCCAUCAGCAACGCCAGCGAGCUGGAGGUGACGGAAUUGGUGAUCCAGGACGAGCCCGGCGUGUACAUCACCGUCCGCGAGCUCGCCGACGGCGCCCGCGAGCUCCGCCGCGUCCGCUUCAGCCGUGAGAAGUUUGCGGAGCUGAACGCGAAGCUGUGGUGGGAGGAGAACAAGGAGAGGAUACACGCGCAGUACCUCUGA